AAAAAAAUAUCAGCAUAGUAGGAGCUUGAAAUUUUAAAUCUGACAGUGGAUUGGACAUGUGGGCGCAUCUCUUACGUGGAUCUAACCUCCAAAGACGUGUUCUACACUCAGUUCUUUCCAUAACCACACCCAUUUGCCUCCCAAAUCACUAACCCUUAAUUUCCCAAAUGUGUUAUCCCUCCGUAGCCAGCCUCUGCCGCCAUUGAUUUGAUCUCUUGAGUCGCAAUUCACUUUCUCCCUUUCUCGAAAAACUCCUCGUUUCUCCCUCUACACCCUUCAUCUUUAGGAGGAUUCACUGCUUCGAUGACAUUCAAAGAACAGCCAGACCUGUGUUAGUGUUUUAGGUGAUAAUUCUCUCAUGAAUAGCAUCUUGUCUGGAAACGCUACGGAUAAGAACAUGUCACCUUCAUCUAGAGGUUUGUUUUUUUGGAAAGUACAAUAGCAUGAGCGGAGUCGGAAGAAGUGGAUAAGAAAGGAAAGCAUUAGACGAUUGAUAAGAUGCGGAAGCAUCUUUGGCCUUGAGAAGAAUGGAAGCUGAAGCCAUAUUUCCAAUGGAUCAAUAGGAAAGAUGGUGUGAAGAACGCUCAUCCCAACAGAUAAGGAGGGUUCAAAUCAACAACUAGUGAUAAAUGGGCCUUGUAGUUGAAUUUAACUUAUUCAAUGGUGAGGAUAUGAUCAUAAAAAUUGAAAAUGGCUCGUAUGGCAAGAAGAUGUGAUAUGAAAAGGUCCAUGAUAGAGAAGAAUGUGUACUUACCUAGAAAUUAAUAUGCACAGUCAAGGAGAAAAAGAAUUCUCAAGAUCGAAUCAAUGAUUUAGCAAAAUAUAAGAUACCUAGUUUUAGAGCAUUGCCCCCUGGAGUGAAGUUUGGACCAGGAUGGGUAGGAGAGAACGAUCGGACACCACCAAAGCCACUUUUUGUGCCUUCAUCAACAUUACUCUCAUCUCUCCCUCGAGAUUCUGCUCCUGUUGCUAUACCUUGCAAUAUUUUAGUACAUGCUAUAAGACAUGGAUAUGAAUAUUUCAUAAAUUCAUAAAUUAUAACUUUCAUUAUAAAUAAUUAGAAAAUUAAAAAAAAUGAUAAUGCAUAAUAAUAUUUUGUCUAAAAUAUAUUAUUAACA